AGUGAACGCUGGCGGUAGGCCUAACACAUGCAAGUCGAACGGCAGCACAGUAAGAGCUUGCUCUUACGGGUGGCGAGUGGCGGACGGGUGAGGAAUACAUCGGAAUCUACUUUUUCGUGGGGGAUAACGUAGGGAAACUUACGCUAAUACCGCAUACGACCUACGGGUGAAAGCAGGGGAUCUUCGGACCUUGCGCGAUUGGAUGAGCCGAUGUCGGAUUAGCUAGUUGGCGGGGUAAAGGCCCACCAAGGCGACGAUCCGUAGCUGGUCUGAGAGGAUGAUCAGCCACACUGGAACUGAGACACGGUCCAGACUACUACGGGAGGCAGCAGUGGGGAAUAUUGGACAAUGGGCGCAAGCCUGAUCCAGCCAUACCGCGUGGGUGAAGAAGGCCUUCGGGUUGUAAAGCCCUUUUGUUGGGAAAGAAAAGCAGCAGGUUAAUACCCCGCUGUUCUGACGGUACCCAAAGAAUAAGCACCGGCUAACUUCGUG
rnacentral:rRNA from 1 species